AACGAACGCUGGCGGCAGGCCUAACACAUGCAAGUCGAGCGGACAUCUUCGGAUGUUAGCGGCGGACGGGUGAGUAACGCGGGGGAACGAGCCCUUUGCUUCGGUAUAGCCUCGGGAAACUGGGAGUAAUAACGGAUGUACUCAUUGGGGGUAAGAUUUAUCGGCAAAGGAUCGGCACGCGUUGGAUUAUGUUGCUGGUGUGGUAAGGGCCUACCAAGCCGACGUUCCAUAGCUGGUAUGAGAGGAUGAGCAGCCACACUGGGGCUGAGACACGGCCCAGACUCCUACGGGAGGCAGCAGUGCGUAAGCUUAGACAAUGGCGUGAGCCCUGAUCGAGCCAUGCCGGUUGAGCGAUGAAGGCCUUAGGGUUGUAAAGCUCAAUCACCGGUGAAGAUAAUGACGGUACCCGGUGAGGAAGCCCCGGCUAACUCCGUG
rnacentral:rRNA from 1 species